rnacentral:rRNA from 1 species
AUUGAACGCUAGCGGGAUGCCUUACACAUGCAAGUCGAACGGAGUGGCGAACGGGUGAGGAAUGUAUCGGAACGUGCCCAGUAGCGGGGGAUAACUACGCGAAAGCGUAGCUAAUACAGCAUGCUAUUGGGGCGGUCGAGAUCGGAUUAGCUAGUUGGGGGGGUAAUGGCUCACAAAGGCGACGAGCCGUAGCUGGUUUGAGAGGACGACCAGCCACACUGGGACUGAGACACGGCCCAGACUCCUACGGGAGGCAGCAGUGGGGAAUUUUGGGCAAUGGGGGAAACCCUGAUCCAGCCAUCCCGCGUGUGCGAUGAAGGCCUUCGGGUUGUAAAGCACUUUUGGCAGGAAAGCGGUACCUGCAGAAUAAGCACCGGCUAACUACGUGCCAGCAGCCGCGGUAAUUC